GAUAAACGCUGGCGGCGUGCCUAACACAUGCAAGUCGAACGAUCCCGCAAGGGAGAGUGGCGGAAGGGUGAGUAACACGUGGGAAUCUACCUCCUCGCAGGGAACAACCUCUCGAAAGAGAGGCUAAUACCCAAAAGGGUCAGAAAUGAUCAGAGUCGAAAGGCGUGAGGAGAGGAGCCCGCGGCCCAUCAGCUAGUUGGUGAGGUAAUGGCUUACCAAGGCUACGACGGGUAGGGGAUCUGAGAGGAUGUCCCCCACACUGGAACUGAAACACGGUCCAGACGCCUACGGGUGGCAGCAGUGAGGAAUAUUGGACAAUGGGCGAAAGCCCGAUCCAGCAACGCCGCGUGGAGGAUGAAGGCCUUGGGUCGUAAACUUCUUUAGAGGGAGACGAGAAAGGAC
rnacentral:rRNA from 1 species